CUACCUUGUAUUAUUAUUCGACAGAAAAGGACUUCAAGUGUUUUGUUUGCAUCCGCACAAGUAAACAACUUCUUGACAUCCGUAAUUAAUAAUGUAUAAAAAGAGGACAUCGACCUUGUUUUAUUUAUCGACAGGAGAGGACUUCUGGCGUAUAGAGCUGCAACCAAGUCGUACAAAAGAAUACGUCUCUCUCGAAUUCUCUACCUGCACCAAGGAGGCAAAAAACAACGUCUACCAUGAAGGUUAAACUGCUCUGCGCUUUCUUGGCCAUCUUUCUGACAGCCUCGUGCGUCCUCGGAAUCCCCGACUACUACGGUGGAGGUGGCAAAGGAAUAGGCGACGACAAAGGCUUGAUGGUGGAGGAGGAAGAUUGGUUGACUGAAGAAUAUUAUGCCGAGAUGCUUGGACAAAUGGAAGACAGCUUGGAUGGUGGAAAGAUGGGAAGGGAUGUAGGAAGCUGCAGUUGUAGAUUGGGUGGGUGCCAUACCAAUGAGGUCAACCGUGGCAAGUGCUCUAGUUGGUGCAUCAUCCACUUUCUGUGCCGGAAUAAGUGCUGCAGAGCGUAGACCAACAACAAACAGGCAAGAUGCUGUAAAAGCACACUUUAGGGCGGAUUCGACUAGACAUAUAUAUCAACAAUGAAUUAUUUAAUCUUUGCAUUAAAAACAACAAAUAAAUAUCAGUAUUUCA